UGAAGACGAGGAGGAAAAAAGAUAUUCUUUCUCCAGAGUUUGCUUCCCAAAAAUGGUCAGCCAGCGAUUGGAAUCCAUUACUCAUGGACUCUGCUGGCCGUUAUAUCGUCCUCUCUUUAAGACUUCCCCCCCCCCCUUCUUCUUCCUUGUGUUUGGACCAGGACCAGGACAACACGAGAGACAACAACCACAGAACAAAAUGUCAACCCGUCGACAGUCUACACGGUACACAUCGGGGCGAGCUAUAGUUCCGAAAAAAAAAGUCGCCUGCAGUCCAGUUGAAAGAUAAUCAGCCUGCGUUUGGGGUCUGUUGCUGGUGUGUGUGUUCCGUGUGUGUACGUGAGGAUGGAAUGAGAGAACGAAAUGUUUCCUGCGGCCCAGGCGAAGACGAGUCAAAUGGCCCCAUCUGUGUGUGUGUGUGUGUCUGUCUUGUCUAUUUACAUAUAUGGUCUUUGGGUUAAACUUCUCUUCCCGAAAGGUCUACAUAUAAGGAACGAAAGAAGAAAAUGGGGGAGAGAGAGAGAGUUGAGGAAGGAAGAAGAUGGGCAGGCAG